rnacentral:rRNA from 1 species
UACAGAGGGGGCAAGCGUUGUUCGGAAUUACUGGGCGUAAAGGGCGCGUAGGCGGCCUUCUAAGUCGGACGUGAAAUCCCUGGGCUCAACCCAGGAACUGCGUCCGAUACUGGAAGGCUUGAAUCCGGGAGAGGGAUGCGGAAUUCCAGGUGUAGCGGUGAAAUGCGUAGAUAUCUGGAGGAACACCGGUGGCGAAAGCGGCUUCCUGGACCAGUACCGACGUUCAGGCACGAAAGCGUGGGGAGCAAACAGG